AACGCACCUUGCGCUCCGUGGUAUUCCGCGGAGCAUGCCUGUUUGAGUGUCGCGCCCCCCUCUCAACCCCAUUGGCUUUCAUUAGCGAGUGCGGGCUUGGAUCGUGGCCUUUCGACUUUUCGAAGUUGAAGGCCGAAAGACGUUCGCCUCUGGCGGCACGCGGUCUGACCGGAACGUUGUACGCACCUCGUUCUCGGGACGCGCGCCCUGUAAGGCUGCGAAUUGCGCACUCUAGUGACCUCGACCUCAAAUCAGGCAGGACGACCCGCUGAACUUAA
rnacentral:misc_RNA from 1 species